AUUGAACGCUGGCGGCAUGCUUUACACAUGCAAGUCGAACGGUAACAGGCCGCUAGGUGCUGACGAGUGGCGCACGGGUGAGUAAUGCAUCGGAACGUGCCCAGUCGUGGGGGAUAACUACUCGAAAGAGUAGCUAAUACCGCAUACGAUCUAUGGAUGAAAGCGGGGGACCGUAAGGCCUCGCGCGAUUGGAGCGGCCGAUGUCAGAUUAGGUAGUUGGUGGGGUAAAGGCUCACCAAGACAACGAUCUGUAGCUGGUCUGAGAGGACGACCAGCCACACUGGGACUGAGACACGGCCCAGACUCCUACGGGAGGCAGCAGUGGGGAAUUUUGGACAAUGGGCGCAAGCCUGAUCCAGCAAUGCCGCGUGCAGGAAGAAGGCCUUCGGGUUGUAAACUGCUUUUGUACGGAACGAAACGGCUCUGGUUAAUACCCGGGGCUAAUGACGUUACCGUAAGAAUAAGCACCGGCUAACUACGUG
rnacentral:rRNA from 1 species